ACAAUUGAUUUUCAUUUCACGCUUAGGAAUGGCAAAUCAACAUGGUGAAACCAACCCCAUUGACAAAAAUCACGGUGAAAAAAAGAUAUCGAUGAAGAUUGACAUCCAGAAGAAGUUCAAUAAAACUGUAGUAGAAAUUGUGCUGAAGGAAGAAAAGGAGGUCGUGACAAUGGAUGUAGAGGAAUCGGGAUCGGGGACACUUGAUGAAGAACCAAUGUCUUGGUCUUCUGUGGACUGAUGGAGGGAGACAAGGUUCUCUUGGAUUUUUAGAGGAGUGAUCGCGGAUCACAUUUUGAGCACUUUGUUUAAGCCCGUCACCCUAACUACUACCGUUUAAACUUUUUAAACAACUGUUUAAACUUUUUAAACAACUGUUUAACCUUUAUUUUUUUAAACAAGUUGUUUAAACAGUUUAAACAAUUUCAAACAAGUUUAAACCACUUGUUGUUAGAGUGACAGGCUUAAACAUACGUUUUUGUACUGUAAAGGUUCCCUUGGAUUAUCAGGGCAUGCAGUGAUCGUGAUCACAUUCUUUAGUUGGGAGAGGGGAUGGGGUGUAUGGUAUUGGAUUUGAUAAAAGCAAGGUUCUGUACGAUCAACAGAGGAACGAUCCCUAUUACUUUACAAAUUGCAUAUAUCAAAAAUUUUCUGAAAUAAACGCUUGAAAUAUCUUACUAUAUUUUGCAUGUGCUGCAUUUAAUUGACUACGAUUUCCCCAAUCAAUUACCAUACCUGUAUGAUCUACUAAAAGCAACGCGUUUUUUUUAAUCAUGGUCUACGCAAGGGUAUUUUAAUGGGAGGGGUGCCGAAAUAUGCAUCUUAAUUUAUAUUCUUGUAUCCACGCAUGUUCAACAGAAGAAAUUCUGAAACACAUUUUCUUACACAACAGUACAUUAUUUUUUUUAUUCAAAAUAGUAUUCAUAAUGCUCGGUAAAGUAUGUUGUUGUUAAAUAUUAUUUGUCUUCAUUAAUUUUGUAACUUUCAUGUGUUGAUGUAUUUUUUUUUCUUAUUUGUAAGGCAUAUUUUUUUGUUUAAUGAACAAAUUAAAUUAUGUGUAAUAUAUACGGUAGUUCGUAUAAUUCAUUAAUUUAAUAUUUGUACAGCGCAUAGAGUCUCUUGACUAUUAUGCAUAUUAUUACAUAAUGUAAAUAAAAAAAACAUCUUGUUCAUAUUUGCGUAUAAACAAUGAUUGCACAUUUAUUCCUCUUGAGUGUAAUCCAUGUGAAAUUAUGAAGCAAUAUUAUGUUAUAUCAUAAUGCUGAAUGCACAAACAGAUGUCGUUUAUACGUUUGAAUAUAAAACACUGGUAGUCGAGCUUAAU